UCCAGAGGUGGAUGGAGCCCAUGCAGGACAGCAAGAUAGUGCAUCCGUUUCUGGUGAUUUAGACAAGCAGCAAUGUGACCUCACUUGACUCUACGAGGGACCAGGUUUGCUUGGUGCAAUCAACAUGACAGUUUGUGACAUAGUAAUUGUUUCCAUCAGCUUCUCCCUUUGUUUCUCUGGCUAUAGCAUCUUGAAGCGGUUCAGGUGGACCUGGCCUGCUGUUGCCGGAGAGGAUGCCCCAGGAGCUGCAGAAGCUGGAAGGCUGGCGCCAGGGGGCCAGGGCUUUGGGCUCAGAUAGUUAUUUGUAAGCCAUCAGUGCUCCGUGUGCCUGUGACUGACGCUCCCCACAGACUGCCUGAAUUCAGACAUGCAAACAUUCUAUCUUUGAACAGUCAGAGCUCACUAGAGUA